GACGAACGCUGGCGGCGUGCUUAACACAUGCAAGUCGAACGGAAAGGCCUUUUCGGAGGUACUCGAGUGGCGAACGGGUGAGUAACACGUGGGUGAUCUGCCCUGCACUCUGGGAUAAGCCUGGGAAACUGGGUCUAAUACCGGAUAGGACCGCACUUUAGUGUGUGUGGUGGAAAGUUUUUUCGGUGUAGGAUGAGCCCGCGGCCUAUCAGCUUGUUGGUGGGGUAAUGGCCUACCAAGGCGGCGACGGGUAGCCGGACUGGGAGGUUGGUCGGCCACAUUGGGGCUGAGAGACGGCCCAGACUCCUACGGGAGGCAGCAGUGGGGAAUAUUGCACAAUGGGCGCAAGCCUGAUGCAGCGACGCCGCGGGGGGGAUGACGGCCUUCGGGUUGGAAACUCCUUUCGCCAGGGACGAAGCGUUUUGUGACGGUACCUGGAGAAGAAGCACCGGCUAACUACGUG
rnacentral:rRNA from 1 species